rnacentral:rRNA from 1 species
ACUCCUACGGGAGGCAGCAGUAAGGAAUAUUGGGCAAUGGACGCAAGUCUGACCCAGCCAUGCCGCGUGCAGGAUGACGGCCCUACGGGUUGUAAACUGCUUUUGUACGGGAAAAAACCCUCACUCGUGAGUGGGGCUGAUGGUACCGUAAGAAUAAGGAUCAGCUAACUCCGUGCCAGCAGCCGCGGUAAU